GGACUACCCGGGUUUCUAAUCCUGUUCGCUCCCCACGCUUUCGCGCCUUAGCGUCAGUACCGUCCCAGCGAGCUGCCUUCGCUAUUGGUGUUCCUCCUGAUAUCUGCGCAUUCCACCGCUACACCAGGAAUUCCACUCGCCUCUUCCGGACUCUAGCCCUGCAGUAUCCAUCGGCUUUCAAAGGUUGAGCCUUUGACUUUCACAACGGACUUACAGGGCCGCCUACGCGCGCUUUACGCCCAAUGAUUCCGGACAACGCUUGCUCCCUACGUAUUACCGCGGCUGCUGGCAC
rnacentral:rRNA from 1 species